rnacentral:rRNA from 1 species
UGCAGUCGAGCGGGGNNGAGGUAGCUUGCUACCUGACCUAGCGGCGGACGGGUGAGUAAUGCUUAGGAAUCUGCCUAUUAGUGGGGGACAACAUUACCGAAAGGAAUGCUAAUACCGCAUACGCCCUACGGGGGAAAGCAGGGGAUCUUCGGACCUUGCGCUAAUAGAUGAGCCUAAGUCAGAUUAGCUAGUUGGUGGGGUAAAGGCCUACCAAGGCGACGAUCUGUAGCGGGUCUGAGAGGAUGAUCCGCCACACUGGGACUGAGACACGGCCCAGACUCCUACGGGAGGCAGCAGUGGGGAAUAUUGGACAAUGGGCGAAAGCCUGAUCCAGCCAUGCCGCGUGUGUGAAGAAGGCCUUUUGGUUGUAAAGCACUUUAAGCGAGGAGGAGGCUACCGAGAUUAAUACUCUAGGAUAGUGGACGUUACUCGCAGAAUAAGCACCGGCUAACUCUGUGCCAGCAGCCGCGGUAAUACAGAGGGUGCGAGCGUUAAUCGGAUUUACUGGGCGUAAAGCGUGCGUAGGCGGCUUUUUAAGUCGGAUGUGAAAUCCCUGAGCUUAACUUAGGAAUUGCAUUCGAUACUGGGAAGCUAGAGUAUGGGAGAGGAUGGUAGAAUUCCAGGUGUAGCGGUGAAAUGCGUAGAGAUCUGGAGGAAUACCGAUGGCGAAGGCAGCCAUCUGGCCUAAUACUGACGCUGAGGUACGAAAGCAUGGGGAGCAAACAGGAUUAGAUACCCUGGUAGUCCAUGCCGUAAACGAUGUCUACUAGCCGUUGGGGCCUUUGAGGCUUUAGUGGCGCAGCUAACGCGAUAAGUAGACCGCCUGGGGGAGUACGGUCGCAAGACUAAAACUCAAAUGAAUUGACGGGGGCCCGCACAAGCGGUGGAGCCAGGUGGUUUAAUUCGAUGCAACGCGAAGAACCUUACCUGGUCUUGACAUAGUAAGAACUUUCAGAAGAUGGAUUGGUGCCUUCGGGAACUUACAUACAGGUGCUGCAUGGCUGUCGUCAGCUCGGGUCGUGAANNUUUGGGUUAAGUCCCGCAACGAGCGCAACCUUUUCCUAUUUGCCNCGGGUUAAGCCGGGAACUUAAGGAACUGCCGUGACAANUGGAGGAAGGCGGGGNCAAAUCNNGUCUUNUGGGCCUUANAACAGGGGUNCACCUNNUNNAAGGUGUGGUAAAAAGGGUGUUCCNUCNGNUGGGUGCNAUNCAAAACCNNCNGUUUNCCGAGGGNNUUNGC